GAUGAACGCUGGCGGCGUGCCUAAUACAUGCAAGUCGAGCGAACGGACGAGAAGCUUGCUUCUCUGAUGUUAGCGGCGGACGGGUGAGUAACACGUGGAUAACCUACCUAUAAGACUGGGAUAACUUCGGGAAACCGUAGCUAAUACCGGAUAAUAUUUUGAACCGCAUGGUUCAAAAGUGAAAGACGGUCUUGCUGUCACUUAUAGAUGGAUCCGCGCUGCAUUAGCUAGUUGGUAAGGUAACGGCUUACCAAGGCAACGAUGCAUAGCCGACCUGAGAGGGGGAGCGGCCACACGAGACGUGAGCCCGCGACACGCCUCCGACGGGCGGCAGCAGGAGGGAAGCUUCCGCAAUGGGAGAAAGCCUGCCGGAGCAACGCCGCGUGAGUGAUGAAGUUCUUCGGAUCGUAAAACUCUGUUAUUAGGGAAAAACAUAUGUGAAAGUAACUGUACACAUCUGGGCGGUACCUAAUAGGAAAGCCACGGCAAACUACGUC
rnacentral:rRNA from 1 species